rnacentral:rRNA from 1 species
UACGUAGGGUGCGAGCGUUGUCCGGAAUUAUUGGGCGUAAAGAGCUCGUAGGCGGUCUGUCACGUCGGAUGUGAAAACUCGGGGCUCAACCCCGAGCCUGCAUUCGAUACGGGCAGACUAGAGUUCGGUAGGGGAGACUGGAAUUCCUGGUGUAGCGGUGAAAUGCGCAGAUAUCAGGAGGAACACCGGUGGCGAAGGCGGCGUUCUGGACUGCAACUGACACUGAUGAACGAAAGCCAGGGGAGCAAACAGG